CUUGUUGGUGAGGUAACGGCUCACCAAGGCUUCGACGGGUAGCCGGCCUGAGAGGGUGACCGGCCACACUGGGACUGAGACACGGCCCAGACUCCUACGGGAGGCAGCAGUGGGGAAUAUUGGACAAUGGGCGAAAGCCUGAUCCAGCAACGCCGCGUGAGGGAUGACGGCCUUCGGGUUGUAAACCUCCUUCAGUACCGACGAAGCGCCUUUAACGGUGGUGACGGUAGGUACAGAAGAAGGACCGGCCAACUACGUGCCAGCAGCCGCGGUAAUACGUAGGGUCCGAGCGUUGUCCGGAAUUAUUGGGCGUAAAGGGCUCGUAGGCGGUCUGUUGCGUCGGGAGUGAAAAUUCACAGCUUAACUGUGAACUUGCUUCCGAUACGGGCAGACUUGAGGUAUUCAGGGGAGAACGGAAUUCCUGGUGUAGCGGUGAAAUGCGCAGAUAUCAGGAGGAACACCGGUGGCGAAGGCGGUUCUCUGGGAAUAUCCUGACGCUGAGGAGCGAAAGUGUGGGGAGCGAACAGGAUUAGAUACCCUGGUAGUCCACACCGUAAACGUUGGGCGCUAGGUGUGGGGUCCAUUCCACGGAUUCCGUGCCGCAGCUAACGCAUUAAGCGCCCCGCCUGGGGAGUACGGCCGCAAGGCUAAAACUCAAAGGAAUUGACG
rnacentral:rRNA from 1 species